rnacentral:rRNA from 1 species
GAGUUUGAUCAUGGCUCAGGACGAACGCUGGCGGCGUGCUUAACACAUGCAAGUCGAGCGAUGAAGCUUCCUUCGGGAAGUGGAUUAGCGGCGGACGGGUGAGUAACACGUGGGCAACCUGCCUCAAAGAGGGUAAUAGCCCUCCGAAAGGAGGAUUAAUACCGCAUAAAGUUAGAGUUUCGCAUGAAACUUUAACCAAAGGAGUAAUCUGCUUUGAGAUGGGCCCGCGUCCCAUUAGCUAGUUGGUAAGGUAAUGGCUUACCAAGGCAACGAUGGGUAGCCGACCUGAGAGGGUGAUCGGCCACAUUGGAACUGAGACACGGUCCAGACUCCUACGGGAGGCAGCAGUGGGGAAUAUUGCGCAAUGGGGGAAACCCUGACGCAGCAACGCCGCGUGGGUGAUGAAGGUUUUCGGAUCGUAAAACCCUGUUUUCUGGGACGAUAAUGACGGUACCAGAUGAGGAAGCCACGGCUAACUACGUGCCAGCAGCCGCGGUAAUAC